rnacentral:misc_RNA from 1 species
CCUAGAGUUGUAGGCUUUGCCUGCUAUCUCUUACCCAUGUCUUUUGAGUACCUUACGUUUCCUCGGCGGGUUCGCCCACCGAUUGGACAAACUUAAAACCCUUUGCAGUUGAAAUCAGCGUCUGAAAAAAACUUAAUAGUUA